UCCUGCACAACAGCAUUUUACAGACCCCACAGCCCUAUAAACACAGGGACUCUGACUCCAUCUGGCACAGCUCUUUCCUCUCACUCCGUCUGGUGCCUCUUCUCUGCAGUGACACUGAGAUCGCAGCCGACCUUCAGCCAUGAAGAUCCUGUACCUGCUCUUUGCUGUUGUCCUUCUCCUCUUCCAAGCUGCUCCAGGGUCUGGUGAAGAGGCAAGGAUCCCUUCCUGUAGGUUCCUGGGAGGUUACUGCAUAAGGCCUAGGCAGCGCUGUCCCUCAGGACGGUUUCUGAAUGGACCAUGUGGUUUCAGAGAGAGAUGCUGCAAAAGAUAGAGACCAUGCUGAGCUGCACAUGGGGGGCCUCGGAUCGUCCAAAAAGAUGUUUGCUCCCCUCUUUUCAAUAAAGACAAGCUGUUAAAUCAUA